AGGAGUUAGAGCUGGUCUGAGACCUCGGCACGGAGAGGUGUUUGGAGAGAAAAAGGCGCAUUCUGGCUGGAUGAGGCAGACGUAACGAGAUCCCGUACGCGCUUUGUAAGCUCUUUCCGGCCCAUGGCUUUUCCAGUUGGAUGUUACCAGGAAGAUGUCAGGAAAAUCCUAUAGGAACAGCUGUACUUCAUUUGGGGGUAAUCACAUUAACUGACGCACUUUUAACAGUAGACAUGGUCACAAAGCAGCAGGAAUGAUGCAGAGGUGAAAGUGGUGAGAAACUCCCUGAGAUGACUUGAGGGUACAAAGAAGGUAUGCAUCGAGGCUCUUUCUGAAUGAACGUGCCCUAGAUGUUCGAUCAGCAGAGUCACUGGUUGUCUUCAAAUGACUACUAAAGGCAUUUUCAUGAACUCAUGAAGUACUUAAAUGAGCAAAUCCAU